rnacentral:rRNA from 1 species
UUUAACUGACGCUGAGGCACGAAAGCGUGGGUAGCAAACAGGAUUAGAUACCCUGGUAGUCCACGCUGUAAACGAUGAUUACUAGGUGUGGGUGGACUGACCCCAUCCGUGCCGCAGUUAACACAAUAAGUAAUCCACCUGGGGAGUACGACCGCAAGGUUGAAACUCAAAGGAAUUGACGGGGGCCCGCACAAGCAGUGGAGUAUGUGGUUUAAUUCGAAGCAACGCGAAGAACCUUACCAGGUCUUGACAUCGAGUGACGUACCUAGAGAUAGGUAUUUUCUUCGGAACACAAAGACAGGUGGUGCAUGGUUGUCGUCAGCUCGUGUCGUGAGAUGUUGGGUUAAGUCCCGCAACGAGCGCAACCCUUGCUAUUAGUUGCUACGCAAGAGCACUCUAAUAGGACUGCCGUUGACAAAACGGAGGAAGGUGGGGACGACGUCAAAUCAUCAUGCCCCUUAUGACCUGGGCUACACACGUACUACAAUGGCCGCCAACAGAGGGAAGCAAUACAGCGAUGUGGAGCAAACCCCUAAAAGCGGUCCCAGUUCAGAUUGUAGGCUGCAACCCGCCUACAUGAAGUCGGAAUUGCUAGUAAUCG